UGGGGAAUAUUGGACAAUGGGGGAAACCCUGAUCCAGCAAUGCCGCGUGAAUGAAGAAGGCCUUAGGGUUGUAAAGUUCUUUCACCUGUGAAGAUAAUGACGGUAGCAGGAGAAGAAGCCCCGGCUAACUCCGUGCCAGCAGCCGCGGUAAGACGGAGGGGGCUAGCGUUGUUCGGAAUGACUGGGCGUAAAGGGCGCGUAGGCGGUCUAUUAAGUGAGGCGUGAAAGCCCUGGGCUUAACCCAGGAGGUGCGUUUCAUACUGGUAGGCUAGAGUGCGAGAGAGGAAAGUGGAAUUCCUAGUGUAGAGGUGAAAUUCGUAGAUAUUAGGAAGAACACCAGAGGCGAAGGCGGCUUUCUGGCUCGCAACUGACGCUGAGGCGCGAAAGCGUGGGGAGCAAACAGG
rnacentral:rRNA from 1 species